rnacentral:lncRNA from 1 species
AUAAUGCGGGAACGGGGUAUCCGAAGCCGGUCACGCAGUGCACGCCCGGAGACUACAAGUUCAUGACCACCACCAACGUGGAGUCAGCCUUCGCUAUGUGCCAAUUGGCUCACCCGCUCCUCAAGGCGUCGGGAAGAGGCAGCAUCGUGUUCAAUUCCUCCAUCUCCGGCAUCAUGGCUUUGGAGUUUCUAUCCAUCUAUGGGAUCACCAAAGGUAAUACAUAGUAGCGGUGGACGUGAGAUGUAUGUGGAUUUGUCUCUAUGGCCGUCGUCCUCAGCUUCUGCUUGGGCUUCUUCCAGGAGCACUGAACCAGCUCGCCAGGAGCCUCGCGUGUGAGUGGGCCAAGGACAACAUCCGCGUCAACAGCGUCGCCCCCGGUGCCGUCGACACCCCGCUCAUGAAGCCCGUAAGCCCUCCCUCGAUUCUUAGCCGCACACUAGUUGCAGUUCCCCAUCCGAAACAGCUAUCGAUUUCUUCUUCUCCUUCUUCUGCAACAGGCGUUCGAGAACAAGGAGUUCGUGACAAGGGAGUCGCACAACGUGCCGCUCGGUCGCCUUGGCGUGCCGGAGGACGUGGCACCGGUGGUGGCCUUCCUCUGCCUCCCCGCUGCUUCCUACAUCACCGGCCAAGUCGUCGUCAUCGAUGGAGGUCGCACUGUGAAUGGUUACUACUAGAAAUGCCCAAACAGUGUGUGGAAUUAAUUACAUGUUUGCUAAGUUCAACCACG